rnacentral:piRNA from 1 species
UAGAUGGGAAAGUCCCCUAAGCGAUGCAGUC